rnacentral:rRNA from 1 species
CGAACGCUGGCGGCGUGCUUAACACAUGCAAGUCGAACGGGUCUGCCCUGUUUUUUGCGGGGUGGGUCAGUGGCGAACGGGUGAGUAACACGUGAGUAACCUGCCCCUCACUUCUGGAUAACCGCUUGAAAGGGUGGCUAAUACGGGGUGUUCUGGCUGUGCCGCAUGGUGUGGCUGGGAAAGAUUCACUUUUGUGGUGUUUUGGUGGGGGAUGGGCUCGCGGCCUAUCAGCUUGUUGGUGGGGUGAUGGCCUGCCAAGGCUUUGACGGGUAGCCGGCGUGAGAGGGUGGGAGGUCACACGGGGACGGAGAUACGGCCCAGACUCCUGCGGGAGGCAGCAGUGGGGGGUAUUGCACAAUGGGCGGAAGCCUGAUGCAGCGACGUCGCGUGAGGGAUGGAGGCCUUCGGGUUGUGAACCUCUUUCGCCGGUGAAGAAGGUCCUGCUCUUUGUGGUGGGGUUGACGGUAGCCGGGUUAUGAAGCGCCGGCUAACUACGUG